ACAAAGUACAUGGGACUCGGAGUUUAUUGUAACUCUAGAUUUGCUAUGCCAACCUUCUUUACCUCAUAAUAUAAAUGUAUCUACUAUCUCCCACCUCAGUACAGUGGGGCAGGCGGCUUUAUCUUAUCUGUAGCCGCCACCAUAAGGUUGUCCAUAAGGUUGUCCAUAAGGUUGUUGGGGAGAAUAACCGCUAGCUCCUGUCAUCGGCCUAUAACCACCCUGCAUAGUUGAUCCAGGAGGCAUCGCUGUUUGCGGCUGCAUUUGGCUCAUUCCCAUAUUCCCCGGACCCAUAUUCAUCCCUGUGUUCAUCCCCAUCCCC
rnacentral:lncRNA from 1 species